rnacentral:rRNA from 1 species
UUCAGAAUCUUGCGCAAUGGGCGAAAGCCUGACGCAGCGAUGCCGCGUGAGCGAUGAAGGCCUUCGGGUCGUAAAGCUCUGUCAGAGGGAACGAUAAUGACGGUACCCUCAAAGGAAGCCACGGCUAAUUACGUGCCAGCAGCCGCGGUAAUACGUAAGCGGCGAGCGUUAUCCGGAAACACUGGGCGUAAAGCGUUCGUAGGCGGCGCAGUAUGUCGGAAUUGAAAUCCCAGGGCUUAACUCUGGACCCGGUUCCGAAACGGUUGUGCUUGAGCGUAUCAGAGCGUAGUGGAAUUCCCGGUGUAGCGGUAAUAUGCGUAGAUAUCGGGAGGAACACCAGUGGCGAAGGCGGCUACCUGGGAUAUUGCUGACGCUGAGGAACGAAAGCCAGGGGAGCGAACG